AGCCAACGUGCACGCAAACACACGAGGACGCCGACUUCAUUCACAGACGCUAUGAACGAGUAGGACACGCGCUCACAUCGCUAUCUACCCCCUCCUCUGUUUUUUUUUUGUUCUGCUCUUCCCAGCUUCGCAGUGAUGCUACGUGCAUGUGGUAUCACGGCAUUCCUGACACCCUUGCCUCCCCUCGCAUCCCCGUCCACACCUUCCGCGGGUGGUCCUCGACUGAGUGCUGCGGCGACAGACCGCGUCUCGACACCAGUGCGGUGUGCCACCGGUGACCUCAAGAACGUACCAGAGGACUUUGUGGUGGUGGAGGUGGACCCGACAGGGCAGCGCACCGAUGCCGACGACUACAACUUCGUGUCUGCGAGCACAUCAAACCCACCAUCAUCCGUUACGGCCGACCCGGUCGAUGAUGGAGCCGAAGCGGGCACCGUUUCCGGACCCGAGGCUGCGCUCGGGUUGCUGCCGCCCGUGUUGCCUCCGCAAGUCAAAAGUCCGGGUGCAUGCUCUCGCUCUGUGCAAGCGCUGCGAAGCACACUGACUGCGCACACCCCAGAACUGCAGCGCUGCUUCGGGACUGUCGCGGAGGUGGCGACGCGUGUGUCAUCUGCGUUCACCCAAGCGGCGCUCUCCCUGCUCCUUAGAGACAUUCGGGCCGCUGCUCAGGGCAGCUCCACGGCGCCGCGUGAAGUGGAGUCGACUGCGUCUUGUGCAGCGGGGGCGAGUCUGCCGUGGUGGAGAGCGGCGGCGCACACGCUCGGCCAUUUCGCGGACAAGCGGGAGCGGCAGCUGAUGCACUUGAUGGUGCGUUGGUGCUUUCCACACCUCCGCGCUUGCGCCGAUGCACCGCCGUUGCCGCGUGCCGCCGAUGGCAUCUCGUCAGGAGAUGGCAACGCUUCUGUGAUUUCAUGCUCCUUGGACUUGCAUUAUGUGCUAUUUUGCGCGACUCUUGGUUGUGAGGCGGCGCUGUGCAUAGCAAGGUGGUCCGUGGAGGCACAGGCGGCGCGCCAGGAGCGGAGCUUGAGUGAUGAGGACCGCGCAGAGCUGCGCGAGCUCUUGAACAGCGACGACAGUGAAGCUUGGCCUGGUUUAAGAGCGCGCACGGGUGCUGCAGCGAAGGGGUUCUGCAGCACCUCUUUCGACUCGCUGACUGAAGCAAUGCGGCGGCAGCCACCAGAUGAGCCGGCAAGGAGGAUCGCAGCGGAGUCGAUGCCGCUGGUUUCCGAGAAGGAUGUGCGGCGACAGGUGCACGAGCUCCUUCGCCGCUUCUACCCGUUUGUGCAUUGCCAAGUACGCGGGGGACACGCCACCCUACGCUUUCACACCCGCCCCGACGGCGGCAACGAUACGCUAACGAGCGAUGCAGCUGCACGCUCAAGGCGCAACGCCGGCACUGGUGUCGGCGCUCGGCGCACCCGCGCAGAAAUGGAGGGCCGAUUAGUGGACGCGUCGCCCUUGUCGGCUGGAUCGGUGUCCAACAGCGCUGCUCCGGCGUACGUACACAUCGUUGUGAGAAAGCGCAACUUGGACACGGCGGAGAUGCGCCAGCUGCUGGGCGAGUACUUCGGCGUGAAGGAAAGCUCCGUUUGCGUAGCAGGCAUGAAGGAUAAAAGGGCGGUCUCGGUGCAGCGGUGCUCUGUCCCUGUGGUCGCCACAGGCGGCGAAGCACACAGUCGCGUGCGCGCGCUCUUGACGGACGCUGCGGCUGUCCAGCCUGUCACGCUGCGCUGGCCAGCAGACCCGCAGCAGAGCUACGCCGUGCUCCUUCGUGCGAGUGCCUCUAGUGUGCCAGUGCAUCUCGGACAGCUUUCCGGAAACUGGUUCUCGCUGCGUGUUCGCGACGUGCGCUGGGCUGGCGCAGCAGAUCGCAGGAUGUGGCCGUCGCCGGCGACGGCGUGCGAGAACGCGCAGCAGCAGCAGGAGGAGGAGGAGGAGCUCCGAGCAUUUCUCCAGUGCCGCUUCGCGCGGUGUGCAGAGGCGGGCUUCAUCAACUACUUUGGCCAACAGCGCUUUAGUGAGACGGUUGGGCGCGUCGAUGACCACACCGGCGUUCACCUCUUCGCCGCUCGAUGGGUAGCGGCAGUCCGCAGCCUGUAUCGCGCGUGCCCCGACGUUUACAACGCAUUCCCCGACAAGAUGGAGGCGCGCUUCGUGUCCAGCAACUCGCGCGACGCGCAGGUCAUGACGCACGCCCUCCGGCAGACGUAUCGCAUGUACUUCUCCGACUGCCCGCUCAGCAGUGCCGACGUGCAGAACGAGAGCGAGGUGUGGACGCGCUUGUGCGAGAAGGCCAUCACGGAGGGCGUACCAUUCUACCUCAGGUCCCUGUGGGUGCACGCCGGACAGAGCGUUUUCUUCAACCUUGCCGCCUCCUACGUGGCCUCCAGGGGCUUGGCAAGACCCGAAAUGACAGCGGCAGCACCCCAUCCGGACGGCAGCGGCGACCCCCACGCCGCUUCUUCAGCGGCGUGCACGAGCAGCGGCAGCAGCACAUCAGAGCAACCACUCGCGCCGCUCUCCUAUGACGUUCUUGCAAGCGUGCAGCUGCCGCUCGGCGGCUACCACGUGGAUCGAGCUGCGCUGGGCAGCAUCCAUCUCAGCGACCCCGCGUCGGCCGGGCUGUGGGCGCAGUGGAAGGACGCCGCCAUCCAGCACGCCUUGCGGGAGCUGCGCUGGACCUCGGCGCAAGGGUUUGAGCAGCGCCGCGUCGCUGGGGUGCCGGUGCCCGGCUCGUGGCGCGCAGUUGUUGCACGUCCCACUGAUGCCUCCCUCGAGUGGGAAGCAGAGGCGAGGGCCGAGACGCAACGGCGCAUCUGCAGCGGUGGUAGCGGCGAUGCUAGCGCGGACGCAGUGUACCGUUCUACAAUGCAGCUUUCCUUUGCGUUGCCCCCGUCGUGCUACGCCACCGUCUUUCUGCGAGAGGUGCUGGGGUGCGACAAGUGGUGGUGAUUACCGUAUUCCGGGCCCCCUACCAAUAUCACAGGCAGACACGCAU
rnacentral:misc_RNA from 1 species